rnacentral:rRNA from 1 species
UACGAAGGGUGCAAGCGUUAAUCGGAAUUACUGGGCGUAAAGCGCGUGUAGGCGGUUUUCCAAGUUGGGUGUGAAAGCCUUGGGCUUAACCCAGAAAUGCACUCAGUACUGGAAGGCUAGGGGACCGGAGAGGAUAGUGGAAUUCCCAGUGUAGUGGUGAAAUACGUAGAGAUUGGGAAGAACACCAGUGGCGAAGGCGGCUAUCUGGACGGUUUCUGACGCUAAGACGCGAAAGCGUGGGGAGCAAACAGGAUUAGAUACCCUUGUAGU